rnacentral:lncRNA from 1 species
GCCUGAACGCUAUUGUGAGUGGGAUUUACUGGUUUCAGGUUUUCCCUUGGAUGCUGGAACAGGUGCCUCAGUGCAGGGAAUCGCCUGUGAUGAUGCCGUGGGGACAUGGAACAAGCAAAGGCAGGCUCACUUCAAAUCUGUAAGACAAAAAUUCACUGGCAACAUUCUAACCUGACCUUAAAGGAAUCCAGACAGCAUCAGUCUUGGAACAGCUGUGGGAGGAAUACAUUCAGAAGACA